rnacentral:rRNA from 1 species
GACGAACGCUGGCGGCGCGCUUAACACAUGCAAGUCGAGCGAAGCGGCGGACGGGGGAGUAACACGUGAGUAACCUGCCUUAGACAUUGGGAUAGCCUCGGGAAACCGGGAUUAAUACCAAAUGGUAUAAGAUGGACUCGCGUCGCAUUAGCUAGCUGGUGAGGGAACGGCCCACCAAGGCGACGAUGGGGAGCCGGCCUGAGAGGGUGAACGGCGCCGUUGGACCGGAGAAACGGUCCAAACUCUACGGGAUGCAGCAGUGGGGAAUAUUGCACAAUGGAGGGAACUCUGAUGCCGCGACGCCGCGUGAACGAUGAAGGCUUUCGAGUCGUACAGUUCUUUUAUAUGGGAAGCGGUACCAUAAGAAAAAGCCCCGGCUAACUCCGUGCCAGCCGCCGCGGUAAUUC